rnacentral:tRNA from 1 species
UAGAUUGAAGCCAGUUAGCUAGGGUGUUUAGUU